GGGUUGUGAGGUUAAGCGACUAAGCGUACACGGUGGAUGCCCUGGCAGUCAGAGGCGAUGAAGGACGUGCUAAUCUGCGAUAAGCGUCGGUAAGGUGAUAUGAACCGUUAUAACCGGCGAUUUCCGAAUGGGGAAACCCAGUGUGAUUCGUCACACUAUCAUUAACUGAAUCCAUAGGUUAAUGAGGCGAACCGGGGGAACUGAAACAUCUAAGUACCCCGAGGAAAAGAAAUCAACCGAGAUUCCCCCAGUAGCGGCGAGCGAACGGGGAGCAGCCCAGAGCCUGAAUCAGUGUGUGUGUUAGUGGAAGCGUCUGGAAAGGCGCGCGAUACAGGGUGACAGCCCCGUACACAAAAAUGCACAUGCUGUGAGCUCGAUGAGUAGGGCGGGACACGUGGUAUCCUGUCUGAAUAUGGGGGGACCAUCCUCCAAGGCUAAAUACUCCUGACUGACCGAUAGUGAACCAGUACCGUGAGGGAAAGGCGAAAAGAACCCCGGCGAGGGGAGUGAAAAAGAACCUGAAACCGUGUACGUACAAGCAGUGGGAGCACAGAGCAAUCUGUGUGACUGCGUACCUUUUGUAUAAUGGGUCANGCUUAGGCGUGUGACUGCGUACCUUUUGUAUAAUGGGUCAGCGACUUAUAUUCUGUAGCAAGGUUAACCGAAUAGGGGAGCCGAAGGGAAACCGAGUCUUAACUGGGCGUUAAGUUGCAGGGUAUAGACCCGAAACCCGGUGAUCUAGCCAUGGGCAGGUUGAAGGUUGGGUAACACUAACUGGAGGACCGAACCGACUAAUGUUGAAAAAUUAGCGGAUGACUUGUGGCUGGGGGUGAAAGGCCAAUCAAACCGGGAGAUAGCUGGUUCUCCCCGAAAGCUAUUUAGGUAGCGCCUCGUGAAUUCAUCUCCGGGGGUAGAGCACUGUUUCGGCAAGGGGGUCAUCCCGACUUACCAACCCGAUGCAAACUGCGAAUACCGGAGAAUGUUAUCACGGGAGACACACGGCGGGUGCUAACGUCCGUCGUGAAGAGGGAAACAACCCAGACCGCCAGCUAAGGUCCCAAAGUCAUGGUUAAGUGGGAAACGAUGUGGGAAGGCCCAGACAGCCAGGAUGUUGGCUUAGAAGCAGCCAUCAUUUAAAGAAAGCGUAAUAGCUCACUGGUCGAGUCGGCCUGCGCGGAAGAUGUAACGGGGCUAAACCAUGCACCGAAGCUGCGGCAGCGACGCUGAUGCGUUGUUGGGUAGGGGAGCGUUCUGUAAGCCUGCGAAGGUGUGCUGUGAGGCAUGCUGGAGGUAUCAGAAGUGCGAAUGCUGACAUAAGUAACGAUAAAGCGGGUGAAAAGCCCGCUCGCCGGAAGACCAAGGGUUCCUGUCCAACGUUAAUCGGGGCAGGGUGAGUCGACCCCUAAGGCGAGGCCGAAAGGCGUAGUCGAUGGGAAACAGGUUAAUAUUCCUGUACUUGGUGUUACUGCGAAGGGGGGACGGAGAAGGCUAUGUUGGCCGGGCGACGGUUGUCCCGGUUUAAGCGUGUAGGCUGGUUUUCCAGGCAAAUCCGGAAAAUCAAGGCUGAGGCGUGAUGACGAGGCACUACGGUGCUGAAGCAACAAAUGCCCUGCUUCCAGGAAAAGCCUCUAAGCAUCAGGUAACAUCAAAUCGUACCCCAAACCGACACAGGUGGUCAGGUAGAGAAUACCAAGGCGCUUGAGAGAACUCGGGUGAAGGAACUAGGCAAAAUGGUGCCGUAACUUCGGGAGAAGGCACGCUGAUAUGUAGGUGAAGNNNNNNNNNNNNNNNNNNNNNNNNNNNNNNNNNNNNNNNNNNNNNNNNNNNNNNNNNNNGCUGCAACUGUUUAUUAAAAACACAGCACUGUGCAAACACGAAAGUGGACGUAUACGGUGUGACGCCUGCCCGGUGCCGGAAGGUUAAUUGAUGGGGUUAGCGCAAGCGAAGCUCUUGAUCGAAGCCCCGGUAAACGGCGGCCGUAACUAUAACGGUCCUAAGGUAGCGAAAUUCCUUGUCGGGUAAGUUCCGACCUGCACGAAUGGCGUAAUGAUGGCCAGGCUGUCUCCACCCGAGACUCAGUGAAAUUGAACUCGCUGUGAAGAUGCAGUGUACCCGCGGCAAGACGGAAAGACCCCGUGAACCUUUACUAUAGCUUGACACUGAACAUUGAGCCUUGAUGUGUAGGAUAGGUGGGAGGCUUUGAAGUGUGGACGCCAGUCUGCAUGGAGCCGACCUUGAAAUACCACCCUUUAAUGUUUGAUGUUCUAACGUUGACCCGUAAUCCGGGUUGCGGACAGUGUCUGGUGGGUAGUUUGACUGGGGCGGUCUCCUCCUAAAGAGUAACGGAGGAGCACGAAGGUUGGCUAAUCCUGGUCGGACAUCAGGAGGUUAGUGCAAUGGCAUAAGCCAGCUUGACUGCGAGCGUGACGGCGCGAGCAGGUGCGAAAGCAGGUCAUAGUGAUCCGGUGGUUCUGAAUGGAAGGGCCAUCGCUCAACGGAUAAAAGGUACUCCGGGGAUAACAGGCUGAUACCGCCCAAGAGUUCAUAUCGACGGCGGUGUUUGGCACCUCGAUGUCGGCUCAUCACAUCCUGGGGCUGAAGUAGGUCCCAAGGGUAUGGCUGUUCGCCAUUUAAAGUGGUACGCGAGCUGGGUUUAGAACGUCGUGAGACAGUUCGGUCCCUAUCUGCCGUGGGCGCUGGAGAACUGAGGGGGGCUGCUCCUAGUACGAGAGGACCGGAGUGGACGCAUCACUGGUGUUCGGGUUGUCAUGCCAAUGGCACUGCCCGGUAGCUAAAUGCGGAAGAGAUAAGUGCUGAAAGCAUCUAAGCACGAAACUUGCCCCGAGAUGAGUUCUCCCUGACUCCUUGAGAGUCCUGAAGGAACGUUGAAGACGACGACGUUGAUAGGCCGGGUGUGUAAGCGCAGCGAUGCGUUGAGCUAACCGGUACUAAUGAACCGUGAGGCUUAACCUUACAACGCCGAAGCUGUU
rnacentral:rRNA from 1 species